ACUCAAAGGAAUAGACGGGGGCUCACACAAGCGGUGGAGCAUGUGGCUUAAUUCGAGGCUACGCGAAGAACCUUAUCCCGGACUUGACAUGUGCGAAAGCGCCUGCAGGUAGGACCCGGAAACGGGGACGAACGGUACCCAACCCGGAAGCAGGCACAGGUGCUGCAUGGCUGUCGUCAGCUCGUGUCGUGAGAUGUCGGGUUAAGUCCCAUAACGAGCGAAACCCUUACCCUGAGUUGCGACCUUCGGGGCACUCUCGGGGGACUGCCGGUGUCAAACCGGAGGAAGGUGGGGAUGACGUCAAGUCCUCAUGGCCUUUAUGUCCGGGGCUGCACACGUGCUACAAUGGCGCGGACAGAGGGACGCCACCCCGCGAGGGGGAGCCGACCCCGGAAACCGCGCCCCAGUUCGGAUCGCGGGCUGCAACCCGCCCGCGUGAAGCCGGAAUCGCUAGUAAUCGCGGGUCAGCAACACCGCGGUGAAUGUGUUCCUGAGCCUUGCACACACCGCCCGU
rnacentral:rRNA from 1 species